rnacentral:misc_RNA from 1 species
CUCCCACAAACACCUCCAUUGCACCAACAGACAAUGUUGGGGUCUAUGGGAGAUGAGAUUUUUAGGCCACCAUACCAGCUUUCAGGCCUGAAUUGGUAUUCUUGAGUCUUGAUUCAUUCAAGGUGGAGGGAGAUGUGAUAUAUAUACAUAUAUAUAGUGUCUUGAUUAGUUCUAUAUUCGGGGAAGAAUGGCAAAAUGAGAUGUUAUAUACUUGUUCAUAAGUACAGUUGAAACUAGUUAUAUAUCAGCUUCAGAUUGGGAUUGUUGAGAUUUUGGUUGUUAGGGAUGAGAUUAGAGAGUAAUUCAUUGGCCUCCAGUAUCUUCCAGGGUAACGUGUAGCUGCCAAUUUCCUGGUAAGGCCAUCGAUACUCUCAUAUAUAUAUAUAUAUACAUACAUAGGUUCAUAUAUAUGAUAUAUAUAGUUCGCAAUAUAUACAUAUUUGGUUGUUAUAAUUAGGCACUCAAAAGGAAAAAUUGAGAUGUUCAUCUUCAUGUAGAAAAAUAAAAUUGAUAAAUGAUAUAUA